rnacentral:lncRNA from 1 species
CUCCUUCGAUAAAAAUAUCUUGAGGUUGGUGACAUCUUCAGGCAAAUUAAGGGGGUAAAGGCAGACAUUACAAAGUUGCAAAUGAGAGAGGAUUAAGAGGGGGGCCUCCAUGAGCCUGACUUGAGGGAGCUUCGUCACAAGCUCUCGGUCCACCACUCUUUGCUAAGAUAGCAGAAGAUACUAUGGAGGCAAAAGUCAAUGGUACAGU